rnacentral:rRNA from 1 species
UACGGGGGGGGCAAGCGUUGUUCGGAAUUACUGGGCGUAAAGGGCUCGUAGGCGGCCAACUAAGUCAGACGUGAAAUCCCUCGGCUUAACCGGGGAACUGCGUCUGAUACUGGAUGGCUUGAGUUCGGGAGAGGGAUGCGGAAUUCCAGGUGUAGCGGUGGAAUGCGCAGAUAUCAGGAGGAACACCAAUGGCGAAGGCAGCUCGCUGGGACGGUACUGACGCUGAGGUGCGAAAGCGUGGGGAGCGAACAGG